GACGAACGCUGGCGGCGUGCCUAAUACAUGCAAGUUGAACGAUGAAGCUUGGUGCUUGCACCAAUUUGAAGAGCAGCGAACGGGUGAGUAACGCGUGGGGAAUCUGCCUUUGAGCGGGGGACAACAUUUGGAAACGAAUGCUAAUACCGCAUAAUAACUUUAAACAUAAGUUUUAAGUUUGAAAGAUGCAAUUGCAUCACUCAAAGAUGAUCCCGCGUUGUAUUAGCUAGUUGGUGAGGUAAAGGCUCACCAAGGCGAUGAUACAUAGCCGACCUGAGAGGGUGAUCGGCCACAUUGGGACUGAGACACGGCCCAAACUCCUACGGGAGGCAGCAGUAGGGAAUCUUCGGCAAUGGACGAAAGUCUGACCGAGCAACGCCGCGUGAGUGAAGAAGGUUUUCGGAUCGUAAAACUCUGUUGGUAGAGAAGAACGUUGGUGAGAGUGGAAAGCUCAUCAAGUGACGGUAACUACCCAGAAAGGGACGGCUAACUACGUG
rnacentral:rRNA from 1 species